rnacentral:misc_RNA from 1 species
GAGUUCAUGCCCUCACGGGUAGAUCUCCCACCCUUUGUAUACCUUACCUUUGUUGCUUUGGCGGGCCGCCUAGCUACUGGCUUCGGCUGGUAAGUGCCCGCCGGAGAACCCCAAACCCAAACCAUUUAUAGUGUCGUCUGAGUAAAAUUUUAAUAUUUAAAACUUUCAACAACGGAUCUCUUGGCUCU